rnacentral:misc_RNA from 1 species
UUAAAAAAAAAAAAAAAAAAUGGCUAGCUAAUUCUUCCUUACUGACACGAAAAAUAAAAACAGAGACAAGAAAAGGUAUUGACCACCAACUUUAAUAACAGCAAAGCCCAACAUACACCAGAUCAACAAGCUUGUCAUUAGGCACUUCCACUUCCACAAUGACAUUCAAUAACCAUUUAACGUUAACUCCGAGUGGAACAAACUCAAAGAAACAAAGGCAAGAAGAAAACCAUUUUCCGCAAGCCCAACGGAAAUUAGCUAGUUGUCUGUCUCUAGGUUUUCCCCAUAGCACUUGCAUGGAAUUGGUGGUGUUGCUCAACUGGGGCAUCUGAUACUCAUGCGACUUGCUCGGAAUUGUUGUUUUUAGUUAGGUUAGAAUCUAGAGUGGUGAGCUUUUUGGGAUUGUAGAUAUGUUAGCUAUGAGUAGAGCAAAGAAUUCAAUGAUGAGGGAGAGGCCGAGAGGGAGAGGGAAAAGGAUAAGAAGGAGCAACUAGGGGUGGUGUCAGGGCAAAGAAAAUUGAUAGUUCAUGGAGAGAUAAAAGGGACAGAGAAAGCGGACA